rnacentral:lncRNA from 1 species
CUCCACGAUCUUCUCCUUUUAAUGUAUGAGAAAAUUUUUUAUCUCUUUCAAAUCAUUGGUAAGGUAUCUAAGUAAGUGUUCGACCGUAACCCAAUGAAAGUAAGGUCGAUGUCUGGUGGUAGAUUUUCCUCCAUAGUAAUACCCUUUCAAGUUUUUGCCAAAUACCAAAAACGGGGGUUUAUUAUCAUGGGAAGGUUAAUCACUUAAUAUGACAUAAGUUUAUUCAUUAAAAUGAUGAAAUAGAUUUAUAUUAUGGGC